rnacentral:rRNA from 1 species
UAAAAAUGUUAAAAUGUAAACUAAAGUAGUAUUAGUUAUGAUCUUGAAAUUUAAAGAUUUUGGCGGUAUUUUAGUCUAUUCAGAGGAACCUGUUCUAUAAUUGAUAGUCCACGAUUACCUUUACUUAAUUUUAAAAGCUUGUAUAUCGUUGUUAAAGAAAAUUUUAUAAGAAAGAUAAUUUUUAAUAAAUUUAAUUAAAUUUUAAGUCAAAUCAAGGUGCAGUUUAUAGUUAAGAAGAAAUGGGUUACAAUAAAAUUAUUUAAAAAUGAAUAUGUGUAUUAAAUUAUGUUUUGAAAGUGGAUUUGAUAGUAAUAUAAUUUAUUUUAAUUAUAUGAUUAUAGCUCUAAAAUAUGU